UGCGAGUCAAGGUGUCUUCGGACGCCGGCAUACGGCUCAGUAACACGUAGGUAACCUACCCUCAGGACUGAGAUAACCCCGGGAAACUGGGGCUAAUAUUAGAUAGAUAAAAGAUACUGGAAUGUUCUUUUAUCCAAAGCUUUUGCGCCUGAGGAUGGGCCUGCGUCCGAUUAGGUUGUUGGUGGGGUAAUGGCCCACCAAGCCUGCGAUCGGUACGGGCAGUGGGAGCUGAAGCCCGGAGUUGGGGACUGAGACAAGGCCCCAGGCCCUACGGGGCGCAGCAGGCGCGAAACCUCUGCAAUGCGGGAAACCGUGACAGGGGGAUCCCAAGUGCUCAUGCAUUGCAUGGGCUGUUCUUUGGUCUAAGUAACCAGAGGAGUAAGGGCUGGGCAAGACCGGUGCCAGCCGCCGCGGUAAUACCGGCAGCUCAAGUGGUAGCCGCGAUUAUUGGGCCUAAAACGUUCGUAGCCGGAUAAGUAAGUCUUUGGUUAAAUCCUGCGACUCAACCGUGGGAAUUCUAGAGAUACUGCUUGUCUUGAGACCGGGAGAGGUUGGAGGUACUCCUAGGGUAGGGGUGAAAUCCUGUAAUCCUAGGGGGACCACCUGUGGCGAA
rnacentral:rRNA from 1 species